UGGGGAAUUUUGGACAAUGGGGGCAACCCUGAUCCAGCCAUUCCGCGUGAGUGAAGAAGGCCUUCGGGUUGUAAAGCUCUUUUGUCCGGAACGAAACGGCGAGCGUGAAUAUCGCUCGCUACUGACGGUACCGGAAGAAUAAGCACCGGCUAACUACGUGCCAGCAGCCGCGGUAAUACGUAGGGUGCGAGCGUUAAUCGGAAUUACUGGGCGUAAAGCGUGCGCAGGCGGUUUUGUAAGCCAGAUGUGAAAUCCCCGGGCUCAACCUGGGAAUGGCAUUUGGGACUGCAAGGCUGGAGUUUGGCAGAGGAGACUGGAAUUCCCGGUGUAGCAGUGAAAUGCGUAGAUAUUGGGAGGAAUACCGAUGGCGAAGGCAGGUCUCUGGGCUAUAACUGACGCUCAUGCACGAAAGCGUGGGGAGCAAA
rnacentral:rRNA from 1 species